rnacentral:rRNA from 1 species
UACGAAGGGGGCUAGCGUUGCUCGGAAUUACUGGGCGUAAAGGGCGCGUAGGCGGUUUGGUCAGUCAGGCGUGAAAUUCCUGGGCUCAACCUGGGGGCUGCGCUUGAUACGGCCAGACUUGAGGACGGAAGAGGCUCGCGGAAUUCCCAGUGUAGAGGUGAAAUUCGUAGAUAUUGGGAAGAACACCGGUGGCGAAGGCGGCGAGCUGGUCCGUUACUGACGCUGAGGCG